rnacentral:rRNA from 1 species
UACGGGGGGUGCUAGCGUUAUUCGGAAUCAUUGGGCGUAAAGGGCGCGUAGGCGGUCUCUUAAGUCAGAUGUGAAAGCCCUCGGCUUAACCGAGGAAGUGCAUUUGAAACUAAGGGACUUGAGUAUGGGAGAGGGAAGCGGAAUUCCUGGUGUAGCGGUGAAAUGCGUAGAUAUCAGGAGGAACACCGGUGGCGAAGGCGGCUUCCUGGACCAAUACUGACGCUGAGGCGCGAAGGCGUGGGGAGCAAACAGG